UUGAUCGAUGCCAAAUACAUUUGAUUGACAACUAAUGGUGCGUUCAUAAUUGCCUCCAGUGUGUCAGAAUGCGAUCUGGGUCGUUUGUAAAUUCAGAGCGUUUCGCUGUCUCAGUGUUCUGUUAUGGAUGGUUGUGUCAACUACAACAAUGUCUCAGUGUUCUGUUAUGGAAGGUUGAGUCAACUACAACAAUGUCUCAGUGUUCUGUUAUGGAAGGUUGAGUCAACUACAACAAUGUCUCAGUGUUCUGUUAUGGAAGGUUGUGUCAACUACAACAAUGUCUCAGUGUUCUGUUAUGGAAGGUUGAGUCAACUACAACAAUGUCUCAGUGUUCUGUUAUGGAAGGUUGAGUCAACUACAACAAUGUCUCAGUGUUCUGUUAUGGAAGGUUGAGUCAACUACAACAAUGUCUCAGUGUUCUGUUAUGGAAGGUUGUGUCAACUACAACAAUGUCUCAGUGUUCUGUUAUGGAAGGUUGAGUCAACUACAACAAUGUCUCAGUGUUCUGUUAUGGAAGGUUGAGUCAACUACAACAAUGUCUCAGUGUUCUGUUAUGGAAGGUUGAGUCAACUACAACAAUGUAUCAGUGUUCUGUUAUGGAAGGUUGAGUCAACUACAACAAUGUCUCAGUGUUCUGUUAUGGAAGGUUGAGUCAACUACAACAAUGUCUCAGUGUUCUGUUAUGGAAGGUUGCGUCAACUACAACAAUGUCUCAGUGUUCUGUUAUGGAACGUUGAGUCAACUACAACAAUGUCUCAGUGUUCUGUUAUGGAAGGUUGAGUCAACUACAACAAUGUCUCAGUGUUUUGUUAUGGAAGGUUGUGUCAACUACAACAAUGUCUUAUUCUACGUCAUGGAUUUUUGGCUCAAAUAGAACAUAUUUUUAAAACCCCUUUACGAAGUUGGUUUUGUAGCAUGAACUGGGAAUGUGAUAUUUUUGACUGAUAUUAUGAUUGUCUGUUUGUUUCAUGCUUGCCAAGUAGUUAAAACACUUUCCCUUCCACUCUACAUUAUUACUGUAAUGAUGCUCUUAUUACAUAUGUGUUAACUGUUGUUACUUCUGUUGUCAAUUCACUUGUUUCAUAUGUUGUUAAUGUUGUUACCAAUUUGAAUAAAUGUAUUUGAUGUACAAAUGUAUUGUUUUUCUGACAUUUAGAUUUCAGGAAGAAUUUCCCUAAAACUUCCCUGUAAAUGUACAGAAUUAUACUGGCAACAGAGUUGGCAGCUUUUACAGUAAGGAAAUAUUACUGUAAAAUACACUAUAAACUGGGUGGUUGGAGCCCUGAAUGCUGAUUGACUGAAAGUCGUGGUAUACCACGGUUUGACAAAACAUAUUUUUACUUUUCUAAUUACGUUGGUAACCAGUUUAUAAUAGCAAUAAGGCACCUCGGGGGUUUGUGGUAUAUGGCCAAUAUA